rnacentral:lncRNA from 1 species
GUGCGAGGCAAAGAAAAACCACUGCUUCCAACCAUGGAUAGCAGAAGGGAACCCCUCACCAAACUUACACUUCACUUGAGGGGUGAAGUACCUGCACCCAUUAUCAUACAGGUGCCUCUUCAAAAAGAAGAGGGAGUGGAAGAGAGAGCACCUCAGCAUGACCUAGAGUAAAUCGCAUGCAAGGAGAAAGCAAGCUACUAUGACCUUGAUACUAUUGGAGAUAAGCUGGGUCGGCUCAACCAAAUAAUAAUCUAAAAUGUUAGGGAAGAAGGGAUGACGAGGAAAUUGAAGAUCAGCUUCGAAGAAUUCCUCGUACAAAGCAACUGACCCCUCAGGAGGGUCAGUCAUGCCGUGCAUCAUGGUAGGC